AUAUAAUAAAACCGCAAGUAUACAAUAUAUCUCACUACAUAAUGUAGAUUUAUUUAUUUAUAGACAUCAAAUAAUAAAUCUAGAAUAUAGCAUUAUAUGCAUGCCUUAUAAAAUAAACAUUAUCUAGAAAAUAUGAAUAAAUAAAGUAUGUAUAACUCACCAUAUUUGGUGAUAAAUUCAAAUUACAUGAAUGACUUCCGUUCCAGGGCUUAUUGGUAACAUUGCUUCUCUCUAUCCCAUGGUAACUACAUUUGGAGUGUAACUUGCGAACUGCAUUAUCCACAAAUUUUGAAAAUUUUUAACUUCCCGCUUUUUACACUGGGAUCCCUUUGGGACCUCAUAAUAUGUACGAUACUGUUGUUUAUGUUGAAACUUGGAAAUGGUUUUCAUAAAACUAUUUAAUUAAUAUUAUUGUUUAAAAUUUAACUAAAAUGUGAUUAAAAUCUCCUAAAAAUUCUACACGGAGCUGAUCAUUUCUUUUUUAGUGAAUGAAUUUUAGUGCUACAUUCUGACACCAGACGGCGCUUCGGUAGAAAAAUUUUCAAAUGGCAAUUUAGGGAGAAUGCCCUUAACGUGUGUAGUGCAUGUGAAAACUACGUGAGCUUACUGUACACUGUACACACUGCACUGAAGAUAAGUCUUUCAAAGUUGCUUCCUUUAUCAAUUGAAGUAGCCCAACAAUAUAGAUCACUUUUUAAAUAUGUUCGUGUAUUGAUUAUCGAUGAAAUUAGUAUGAUUGGAGCCGAGUUGUUGUCCCAAAUAGAUUCAAGGUUAAAGCAAAUCACCGGUAAUUUUGAAGUCCAUUUUGGUGGAUUAGAUAUAAUUUUGAUUGGUGAUCUACGUCAACUACCGCCAGUUCGUGCUACCCCAAUUUACAAACAAAUAAAACGACAAAUAGCAGGUUCAACACUAUGGCGAGGGUUGAAAUUUUUCGAACUAAACGAAGUUAUGCGACAAGCUAAUCAAAGUUUUGCAACAAUAUUAACAAAAAUUGGUAAUGGACAGUUGUUAGAUCAGGAAGAGCUAGAUUUAAUUGAGUCACGGAUUUACUCUGAAGAAGAAGCUGAGAGACUUUGUCCAGACGGUAUACGAUUGUUUUUAAUAAUCAUUCAGUUGCUGAAUACAACAAUAAAAUUUUGAAUUCUAUAGAAGAAAAAGUGAAUUCAGAGGCAACUGAUAUAUAUAUUGGAUGUAGAAAUGUUGAACAGCAAACUUCUAUGCGUCAAAAAUUACAUAAAAUGUCAACUAUUGAUACAGGAGGUUUGCCAUAUCAAAUUACAUUGGUUUUGAACAAACCAUACAUGAUAACAACUAACAUCGAUGUAUCAGAUGGAUUAGCAAAUGGUGCGACGGGAAAAUUAAUUUUCAUUGAAUAUAAUGACAAAGGAGAGAUAGGUCGUUUAUGGCUAGAAUUUCCAGAAUCUCCAAAAAUCGGAGAAAAAUUGAGAAGAAAGGCAGCGGCAUCA